rnacentral:rRNA from 1 species
AUUGAACGCUGGCGGCAGGCCUAACACAUGCAAGUCGAACGGUAACAGGAAGAAGCUUGCUUCUUUGCUGACGAGUGGCGGACGGGUGAGUAAUGUCUGGGAAACUGCCUGAUGGAGGGGGAUAACUACUGGAAACGGUAGCUAAUACCGCAUAACGUCGCAAGACCAAAGAGGGGGACCUUCGGGCCUCUUGCCAUCGGAUGUGCCCAGAUGGGAUUAGCUAGUAGGUGGGGUAACGGCUCACCUAGGCGACGAUCCCUAGCUGGUCUGAGAGGAUGACCAGCCACACUGGAACUGAGACACGGUCCAGACUCCUACGGGAGGCAGCAGUGGGGAAUAUUGCACAAUGAGCGCAAGCCUGAUGCAGCCAUGCCGCGUGUAUGAAGAAGGCCUUCGGGUUGUAAAGUACUUUCAGCGGGGAGGAAGGGAGUAAAGUUAAUACCUUUACUCAUUGACGUUACCCGCAGAAGAAGCACCGGCUAACUCCGUG